ACGACUUUCAUACCUUUUAUGGACCUUGACAGUGUAUUUUACUUGGCAGUCUAUGGGACAGUCACAGGCCUCCUGGUUUUCAUCCAAAAUAUCUUAAAUUGUUUUGCGAAGACGAACAGAGCUUUUACGGGUUUGGAACGACAUGGGGGUAAGUGAUUGAUGCCAAAAUUUUCAUUUUGGGGUGGAGUAACCCUUUAAGACCUGAUCUCCUUUGUAUUGUAGGCGUUCACAACCUGCAUUCCCAUUUGGUAAUACUAUGAGAGUAAAUCCAGUUUUGAGAAUGACGAUGGGGUCUUAACACAUGUGUCAAGCAUGCUCUGUCCCAUGAGCUCUGCCUCAGCCUCCUCACAACACACAGGCCAAAGGCACACUAGGGGAUAGGCAGAUGGAGUAUCUGACGAUGACUUUCAUACCUUUAUGGACCUUGACACUGUUAUUUACUUGGCAGUCUAUGGGAAAGUCUCAAGCCUCCAGGUUUUCAUCCAAAAUAUCUUAAAUUGUGUUCCGAAGACGAACGGAGCUUUUACGGGUUUGGAACGACAUGGGGGUAAGUGAUUAAUGACAAAAUUUUCAUUUUGGGGUGGAGUAACCCUUUAAGACCUGAUCUCCUUUGUAUUGUAGGCGUUCACAACCUGCAUUCCCAUUUGGUAAUACUAUGAGAGUAAAUCCAGUUUUUGAGAAUGACGAUGGGGUCUUAACACAUGUGUCAAGCAUGCUCUGUCCCAUGAGCUCUGCCUCAGCCUCCUCACAACACACAGGCCAAGGCACAUUUCGAUCACUUGAAAGUUUACAGCUUAGUACUGAGAUCCCCAGACAACUCUACACCAGAAGAUCAGAAAAGUUAAUGCCAGAAAUGGUUGACUUCCAUCAGUGUAUACCACAUGACGAGACGUGUCGGAGGUCCAGCAGAUCCUCUUGCUGUUUUUUGAGGAGUCCUGAUAGUGACAGCUUUGAAGUGACUGUUUUAUGA
rnacentral:lncRNA from 1 species